GAAACACGAAGAGGAAGUGGGAAGGAGCAAGCUUUGUGUUUCCACUGCUUCAUACAUCUGUGAAGAAGAAGCAGACCCACAUCAUAAAACCAACUGAAAGCCAUGGAGGAAAUGCUGCCAUGUCACUAGUACCUCUGACAAGCAGAGUAUAACAAGCAACAGAUUCACUGGGAAAAUACUUCCUAUCUGUUAGAAGAAGAUGACAGUUUUCAAAUAGAUGAUGCAUGAUUUAGAUUUGUUGGUGAGAUACGUACACUGGAUUUCGCAUUAAAUCUAUCACCGAAUACACAUUUAUCAUGGUAACAAGAAAGCAUCAUUUAAUAGAGCUGCUAAUAUGCCUGCUCAGGAUAUGUAUUGGUCCUUUCCAGGGCACUGAGAUAUCAGUGCUUGGGUUUCAGAGGCCCUGCUUUCAGCAAGAGCUGCACUUCCGAAGAUCAAGACACAGACUCUUUACAACAGACUAAUCCAAGGUGAAAACAAACAAACAAACAAACCUGAAGGAUAUGGGAGUUGGAUCUUUCUAUGGAAAAAAUGAAGAGGCCUGUGUCAUUUGCUCUGCCACUCAAUUGGUCACAAAUCCUAUUCUGGUUAGAGAGAUAUUGCUGACUUUUCUUUUUAAUAGAAGUGGGAGAUGGGUUAGAAACCUGAGCAUCGAAAGGCUUUUUGAAGAUUGUCAAGUGCUUGGGGGAGAAGCAGGCAGUCAGCAACAUCAAAACCUAAUGUGAUUCUCCUGAAAGGCACUCCGAUGCACUGGAAAUACCACAUCUCCACUCCUGGGACCUAGUGCAGUUAUCUAGGGAAAACUGAGUAAUUUCCAAACUAUUGACUUGCCAGUAGGGCUACAUCAAUGUGGCCUGAUGGUUUCCAGCAAAAGGCUCCCAGUAGUCUUAAAAAAGCUGACAAGUCAUAGAGCUGUUUGUUGCUGUUUGUGAGCCAGAAGAGUAUGGGACAUCAGUUACCAUGAAGAAGGGGUUGCAGGUGUCAUGAAAGCAAGUGGAAGUAGACUCUGCUUUGCUCACAGGACUUCUCUGUAUGACAGCUAUGGCCAAACCAUUUACUGCCAUCAAGAGGCAGCUAUGAGAGAAGAAUAUGAAAUAUGUUCUUCCUUAUCCAGGAAACAUACAGUGUUUCCCAAUGACCAAUUUAUUAUUUUCACCCUGUCCAGCAAUACAGAAGGGUGCAUCAGGGAUCUGCCUUUCUCUGCUCUGAAUAACUUAAGUCAGGCUGCAACGUGUGAAAUAAUUGAGCUGACCAGAAUUUACAGCUCUAGGUGGAGUUUCUUCUUUCUAUUGGCUUUGUGAGUCAUGACAAUAAGAGUUACCACAUGAUGCAGAGUGUACAUGCUCGUUUCUUUCUCAUUUUUCAUUUUCAGACUGUUCCAUGGCUCAGAUCAGCUCUAGCAUGGUCCAGCUCUCUUAGGCAAGAGUCUCUACAGUGAUAAGGUAUCAUCUUUAAAAAUCAGAGCAACAGACAGAUCAUGCAAGCUAUGCUCUUUCAUUUUUCACUCUCAUCUUCACAUAGUAAGUCCCGCAUGACUUUCAGAGAGGCCUGUCUUGUUUAAUGUGGACUUUG